rnacentral:rRNA from 1 species
UACGAAGGGGGCUAGCGUUGCUCGGAAUCACUGGGCGUAAAGCGCACGUAGGCGGACUCUUAAGUCGGUGGUGAAAUCCUGGAGCUCAACUCCAGAACUGCCUCCGAUACUGGGAGUCUUGAGUCCGGGAGAGGUGAGUGGAACUGCGAGUGUAGAGGUGAAAUUCGUAGAUAUUCGCAAGAACACCAGUGGCGAAGGCGGCUCACUGGCCCGGUACUGACGCUGAGGUGCGAAAGCGUGGGGAGCAAACAGG